AAUGAUCAAGAACUUGUUUGACUGAAGAGAUAGAAUGAAAAGGGAAGACCCAAAAGUGUUUUAUAACAGAAUGCGCAAGAUGGUUUGCAUCAUGGUUAUGAAGGAAAAGCUGACAGUAUUUUUGAGACAGCAAGAAAAACAUCAUUGAACACCACCAACUAAUAAGACUCCAAAGGAAUAACAAAGAUUAGAGUUUAAAGAAUGGAUUCAAUGCUGGUACUUGGAUAAAGAUAAUCAGGCAUGGACUCUCAUCUCCUAUGGAUCUU